rnacentral:piRNA from 1 species
UCCAAGGUCCAUGCUGUAGAGACCAGC